rnacentral:misc_RNA from 1 species
GAAAUGCGAUAAUUAAUGUGAAUUGCAGAAUUCAGUGAAUCAUCGAGUCUUUGAACGCACAUUGCACCCCCUGGUAUUCCGGGGGGCAUGCCUGUCCGAGCGUCAUUGCUGCCCUCAAGCACGGCUUGUGUGUUGGGCUUCCGUCCCUGGCAACGGGGACGGGCCCAAAAGGCAGUGGCGGCACCAUGUCUGGUCCUCGAGCGUAUGGGGCUUUGUCACCCGCUCCCGUAGGUCCAGCUGGCAGCUAGCCUCGCAACCAAUCUUUUUAACCAGGUUGACCUCGGAUCAGGUAGUGAUACCCGCUGAACUUAAGC